UCUUCUGCAUUCCACUUAGUAGGGAAUCUGCCUGCGCUUUGCUCGGAUAUUCCAGCAGAAGUUAUUGUCAAGGUUUUCAAGUGUAUAGGUGUACUGGGGCGAGGAAUGAGGAGGAAAGUGUUGCCCCCCCCCGACAAGUAGCUUGGCUCCACCUCCAGUUUAUUGGACCCCCUGCAGCUACCUGAAAGAAAGUUUUCUUCAAACAAAUCCAGAAAACAAGUCAAUUUUUGGCAAUGGCAAAAAUGAAUAUGGACAUGGGUUGUCCAAGAAAGCACAGGAGAAAGAAUAAGAGAGAAAUCAGCCAACAAAAACAUCACUUCAUCAUGUAGAUAAUUCACAUUCACUUCUUUUUUUACU